rnacentral:rRNA from 1 species
CCCUUAGAUGUUCUGGGCCGCACGCGCGCUACACUGAUGGAUUCAACGAGUGUUGUUCUUCGGAGCAGAUCCUUGGUCGGAAGGCCUGGGCAAUCUUGUAAAUGUCCAUCGUGAUGGGGCUAGAUUUUUGCAAUUCUGAAUCUCCAACGAGGAAUUCCUAGUAAACGCAAGUCAUCAGCUUGCAUUGAUUACGUCCCUGCCCUUUGUACACACCGCCCGUCGCACCUACCGAUUGAGUGAUCCGGUGAAUAAUUCGGACUGCGGCAUUGACCGGUUCCCGAUCGUUGCUGCGGAAAGUUUAGUGAACCUUAUCACUUAGAGGAAGGAGAAGUCGUAACA